UUGCACAGAAACGGCUUGGUUUAUAAAAGGGAAAAUUUGUUUGAAUUUGUUGCACUUGAUUUGAGACAUGCUGGUCUCCUAGUGCCAUUUCAGAGCUCUGAAAUAAACUUGGCUUGCUUUCUCCCCUCGGUGUCUUUAUUGGUGCCAAGCACACCGGGCAACGAACCCCUGUUUGCCAUCUCGGGGCCCAAUUCUUAGACAGUGGAGAAGCAGUUGCGGGCAACGGUGGGGAACCGGUCCCGUGGAUAGGGCGAUGGUGCAGAAGCGGACCCUUGGAUAAGAUACACCGAAGAUUCACAGCCUCUUCUUCUGGAUACCCCUGUCCACUCCCUGCAACCUGAUGACUCCGUUCUCAUGUGGACCUGGAAGGACGAGCCCCUCCAAGAGAAGUGGGAAGGGACCCCACAUCAUCCUGCUUGUUUCCCACACAGCGGCAAAGGUCAAAGGACACAAGAACUGGUUUCAUCACUCUCUACUGAAAGCAGUACCCGCUCCUGAACAGUGGACUGUCCAGCCUGCUGAGAAGACUGCUAACGACGAUUUGGGACUUAAGCUGUUAUUCAAAAGACAGUAAGGGUCAUUGGGAAUGCUUUGUGAUAUCUCUCUGAACAGCCACAGCACACUCCCCGCAAGAACCCUGAGCAUUGGUUUUUGCCAAUGAUACCUUGGCCAUAGAGAAACGCAUAAGUGCUGAGCUGUACCAGCUUCGACUGCUGGCUUUGCAAAACCGUCAGGCCCUAGAUUAUGUGUUAGCUUCACGGGGCAGUGUAUGUGCCCUUAUUGGAGAAGAAUGUUGUACCUAUGUCCCAGAGUUUUCACAGGAUAUUAACAAGCAUAUCUUGUCAGCUAAACAGGCCUUGAACCAGUGGAAGGCCCAGGAAGGGUAACCCACUAUUUUGGAUUCCCUUUGGGGUUGGUUACCUGGUUUAGGGGAACUAAGGGUAUAGGGGGAAGCAUUGUUCGCAUCUUGCUCACAGGUGUUGUGAUAUGUUUUGUCCUUUUCCUUUUGCUCAUUUGCUGUAAAGUGCUCAUAUGUAAGAUUUGUACCUCCCCCUUCCCAGAGGUUCCUUUAUAUUCUCUCAUUGAUAAUCCUGAUUGUAUGGAGCUUAAUCGCAUUUUGUUUUUAGAGUAUGAGAAAACUCUGACAAAGGUUUGUUGAGUGUUCUCAAAGGAGGGAUUGUUGGUGUCACUAGGCAUAGUUACCAGGUAACUCGGGAGAGUGGAAGGCCAAAAGUGCCGAUGAAGCUCUUCUGCUCUGGGCCUACCUGAACUACAAAACUCCAUCUUGUGAACUCUCACCUACUUCUGUGCUAACGGCUUACAUGCUGAAGCAGAAAUGUAAGGGUCAGCUUUUCUAGCAGGCAGCUGCUGUAAACAGGCCUUGCAAGGCCAAGAGAUAAGCAGACAAAUGGGAACUUUUCUAAUUGUAACUGCUACAGAAGGGAGGGGUGGGAGGGGUAAGAGGGAGUAACAGGACAAAGGCUUGCACAGAAACAGCUUGGUUUAUAAAAGGGAAAAUUUGUUUGUAUUUGUUGCACUUGAUUUGAGACAUGCUGGUCUCCUAGUGCCAUUUCAGAGCUCUGAAAUAAACUUGGCUUGCUUUCUC